rnacentral:rRNA from 1 species
GUGUCAGCCGCCGCGGUAAGACGAACCGUGCAAACGUUGUUCGGAAUCACUGGGCUUAAAGGGCGCGUAGGCGGGCCAGCCAGUCUGUGGUGAAAGCCCCCGGCUCAACCGGGGAAGUGCCGUGGAUACUGCUGGCCUCGAGGAGGGUAGGGGCAUCUGGAACGGUCGGUGGAGCGGUGAAAUGCGUUGAUAUCGACCGGAACUCCGGUGGCGAAGGCGAGGUGCUGGGCCCUUUCUGACGCUGAUGCGCGAAAGCCAGGGGAGCAAACGGGAUUAGAUACCCCAGUAGUCC